CAUUGGGCGUCGGCUCCCUUUCCAUUUAUCCUUCCAGAAAUCACACGAAACGAGGAUGGAUUGCUGGUCGAUCACCGACAGGAUGGGCGUUGGUUGUCUAUGGGGAGGUGAGGAAGCUAAUGAUAGGUCUGUGCUGCGCUGCUUUACAAGGUCUUUACCCAAAGCAUUCAAAUUCCAAGCCCGUGAAAGAGAAAAGCAGGCACGCUCUUCUUUCUACAGCGCACAGCAAAAUCUCUCAGACAAUUUGUAGAUUUAAAUUUAACACAGUGUAUUCGUGGGAUUUCUAAGCUUGCUAUAGGUUAUGGAAGUUGGUAAUUGGGAGAGGAAUGGAAGAAAGGACAUAUGUUUAGUUCAGUUUCUUCAGCAUUGUCUUUUUCAAUUUUUGGUCAAUUACUAGUUUUAAGAGAAAAACAGCAUUCAUAUUGUUAGGGCAGCUUGGUUCACGCAUUUACAUUGUGAUGUAGCGUUAUUAGUGAUCAAUUCUUUGAUUUGCUGAUAUUUCUAAGUAUCAGUUUUGGAAGGGGUUGAUUGAUUCAAUAGUAUAUGAGUUAUAUGCUAUUUAGAUUGCAUCUUUGUUGAGAUAACAAUAUUGUCUUGAAGAACAAUAUUUUUGGUUUGGUACUAAAAUGUUCAAAAUUAAUCAUUAUCUUUUAUUUUUUGCUAUUUAUGUUUGCAAUUUGACAUUUUGAUGCCAGCUUAUGUGAUAAAUAUAUGGAUAUCAAUGAAGUAGGAUUGGAUGUCAUUUGAGAAAUUACUUGUUAAAGGUCAAGUUACCAGACUAAACAAAUGACUUCUUGACAUCCAACAACUUUGGAAGGUUAUAUCAGGAAACAAGGAGCUGCAUUAUGGAGAGGAUAGCUUUUAAAAGUAGUGAGAGUACAUACCAAUAAGGAAGAGGAAAAGGAUGAAGAUGGCUUUUCUUAACAUGGUGGAUCUACAGUUACAAGGGCUGCUUGGACAAAAUUUGUUGCCAUUGUGGUGAUAGUGUGAUCCUUCAUAUUAGUAAAGAAAUUGGUCUAAUUGUGAAAGAAGACAUGGAUUCACAGUGCGAUCCUCAGCCAUCUUUUUUCUUCUCAAAGGAAAUAGAGAGCUACAACAAUCAAUACCUGUUGAUGAUGAUGGUCGGACAAUGGAUUUCAAUGGAGGUGUAGAUAAACCAGGCAGCCAUGGACAAAGUUGUUCAGUGCUGUUGACCAACAUCUGGCUGCUCUUGAGGUAAAAGCUGUGCAGUCACACCCAUUUACUGUUCUGAAUAGUAUUUUACUUUGGAGAAGCUGCUCUUAGUAUUGACCAGCAUGAUCUAGAGUCCACUGCAUAAUAUGGAGGGUGGUACCUACCGAAAUUAUUGUGCAAUAAAUUUCCAUUUACAUUUAUGUUGACUGCACUAUAGGUCUUUUGUUUUCUGGAUUCUCUCUUGGCUCAUCCUUUAUUCCAGUAAGAAGUGCAGAAAGCAGUAGACUUUGAGGUCACUAAUGGCUUAGUUGGUUCCUUGAAGUUAGAAAUCUUGUUUUGAAAAAUUGAUAAAUUUUGUUAAACUUAUUUUUUGGCUGAAUAUAAUUAGCAUCAACGUUGAUUUCAAAA